rnacentral:rRNA from 1 species
UACGUAGGGUGCGAGCGUUAAUCGGAAUUUCUGGGCGUAAAGCGUGCGCAGGCGGUGAUGUAAGACAGAUGUGAAGUCCCCGGGCUCAACCUGGGAACUGCAUUUGUGACUGCAUCGCUGGAGUGCGGCAGAGGGGGAUGGAAUUCCGCGUGUAGCAGUGAAAUGCGUAGAUAUGCGGAGGAACACCGAUGGCGAAGGCAACCCCCUGGGCCUGCACUGACGCUCAUGCACGAAAGCGUGGGGAGCAAACAGG